CACGUAGGGGACGAGCGUUGUCCGGAUUCAUUGGGCGUAAAGCGCACGUAGGCGGAUUGUUAAGUCGGGGGUGAAAUCCUGGAGCUCAACUCCAGAACUGCCUUCGAUACUGGCGAUCUUGAGUCCGGGAGAGGUGAGUGGAACUCCGAGUGUAGAGGUGAAAUUCGUAGAUAUUCGGAAGAACACCAGUGGCGAAGGCGGCUCACUGGCCCGGUACUGACGCUGAGGUGCGAAAGCGUGGGGAGCAAACAGGG
rnacentral:rRNA from 1 species